GGCUGCCGUGCGGGUCGCGCACGAAGCCGGCGCCGCUUGGGGCCGCCUUCCCGCUAAGGAGAGGAGCGCCCUUAUCCGCAGAUGGUACGAGCUGAUGAUUGAAAG